CGGACGCUGGAGGGGUGAUGCCGUGUAGGUGGAGAAACAAGGCCAUGAACCAAGGAACAUAGGUGGCUUCUACAAAAUGAAAAAUCCACGUGAGGACUCAUGACAUGUAAGCAGGCCAGGAAGAGGGUUCUCACCGGGAAUGAAUGGAUUGGCUGGCACCUUGAUCUUGGAUUACCAGUCUCCAGAACUUGCCAUGAGACCGCUGUGCCCAAGAAAGUCCCCUGUGGGAAAGGGAGCCCUCCAGUUGACAGCUGCAGCUGAGCCCAGCCCUCAGCAGAUUGGCUGGCUGAAUGUGGCUGCAGGAGUAAUCCCA